GGGUCGCUAGCUCAGUUGGUAGAGCGCCUGGUUCGCAAUCAGGAGGUCAGGGGUUCGACUCCCCUGCGAUCCACCA
rnacentral:tRNA from 1 species